rnacentral:siRNA from 1 species
ACCCGUGACCCGGUAAACCGGUUG